rnacentral:rRNA from 1 species
GAUGAACGCUGGCGGCGUGCCUAAUACAUGCAAGUCGAGCGAACAGACGAGGAGCUUGCUCCUCUGACGUUAGCGGCGGACGGGUGAGUAACACGUGGAUAACCUACCUAUAAGACUGGGAUAACUUCGGGAAACCGGAGCUAAUACCGGAUAAUAUAUUGAACCGCAUGGUUCAAUAGUGAAAGACGGUUUUGCUGUCACUUAUAGAUGGAUCCGCGCCGCAUUAGCUAGUUGGUAAGGUAACGGCUUACCAAGGCAACGAUGCGUAGCCGACCUGAGAGGGGGAUCGGCCACACUGGAACUGAGACACGGUCCAGACUCCUACGGGAGGCAGCAGUAGGGAAUCUGCCGCAAUGGGCGAAAGCCUGACGGAGCAACGCCGCGUGAGUGAUGAAGGUCUUCGGAUCGUAAAACUCUGUUAUUAGGGAAGAACAAAUGUGUAAAUAACUAUGCACGUCUUGACGGUACCUAAGCAGAAAGCCACGGCUAACUACGG